AACGAACGCUGGCGGCAUGCCUAACACAUGCAAGUCGAACGAGACCUUCGGGUCUAGUGGCGCACGGGUGCGUAACGCGUGGGAACCUGCCCUUAGGUUCGGAAUAACUCCCCGAAAGGGGUGCUAAUACCGGAUAAUGUCUUCGGACCAAAGAUUUAUCGCCUUUGGAUGGGCCCGCGUUGGAUUAGCUAGUUGGUAGGGUAAAAGCCUACCAAGGCGACGAUCCAUAGCUGGUCUGAGAGGAUGAUCAGCCACACUGGGACUGAGACACGGCCCAGACUCCUACGGGAGGCAGCAGUGGUGACUAUUGGACAAUGGGCGAGAGCCUGAUCCAUCAAUGCCGCGUGAGUGAUGAAGGCCUUAGGGUUGUAAAGCUCUUUUACCCGGGAUGAUAAUGACAGUACCGGGAGAAUAAGCUCCGGCUAACUCCGUG
rnacentral:rRNA from 1 species